AGUAACGUAUGACUUGUAUCGGGCCACAUGUUGAAGGAGGAUGUUUAAUGCCAGCCAAAGAAAACAAGCUAAGGUGUGCUGACAGCUGCUGCUGGCUUAUGAUUCACCCGAGGGCAAACUGAAACCAGGCGAAUUUCAAGGGGCUGCCACCGAGGAUGCCUCCAAUCCACAGAUGGGCUGUUCCCUGUGGGACCUGGGACCGCAGCAUGCUCCCAGCUCUCUGGAGACGAACGCUGGGAAGCAAGGUUUGAGGAAGUAGAGUGUUCUUGGAACAGCUGGACAUCCAGAGGACAGUGCCAGUUUCUCUUUCUGACUGGCAGUGACCUGAGGUGGCUUCCAUUAGCUUCUCACCCCAGAGCUUUCAGCUGCCAGUGGACGGGUGGUCCUCUGCUUACCUCUUGGAACUGUAUCCAGGAUGAAUGAAACGUGGUUCAGAGUCAGGGCUGGAUGUCGGGAGGACAGCUUGUGAAGAUGGGUGGAGCCCUACCGUGUUUUCAAACAGCAGGCAUCCCCACCUGAGCUCACAGAGGACCCACGUGCGGAAGACUAUUGCAAGCUUCCUGUUCCAAGACAUGAUUUCUUCCUUCUGCAGUUGUCCACGAUGAGGUGACACAGCCAAGAGGAGAAGAGAGGAUCCAUUCUGUGUACACUUUUAGUGUUGAGAACUGAACUGAAAGAACUUCUUUGCCUUAUAAAGUAGCUUGUCUGAGGUAUUUUGUUAUGGUAAAGACAAAUGAAUGCA